rnacentral:rRNA from 1 species
CAGUCGCCGCGGUAAAACGGAGGAUCCAAGCGUUAUCCGGAAUCAUUGGGUUUAAAGGGUCCGUAGGCGGUCUUGUAAGUCAGUGGUGAAAGCCCAUCGCUCAACGGUGGAACGGCCAUUGAUACUGCAGGACUUGAAUUAUUGGGAAGUAACUAGAAUAUGUAGUGUAGCGGUGAAAUGCUUAGAGAUUACAUGGAAUACCAAUUGCGAAGGCAGGUUACUACCAAUUGAUUGACGCUGAUGGACGAAAGCGUGGGUAGCGAACAGGAUUAGAUACCCCGGUAGUCCCUGUCUCUUAUAU